CAGAAUAUAGUUUAAUUAAAAUGUCGGCUUUGGGGGUCGAAGAUGGAAGUUAAACUCUUCCUAUUUUGA
rnacentral:tRNA from 2 species